UGGGGAAUAUUGGACAAUGGGCGCAAGCCUGAUCCAGCCAUGCCGCGUGAGUGAUGAAGGCCCUAGGGUUGUAAAGCUCUUUCACCGGUGAAGAUAAUGACGGUAACCGGAGAAGAAGCCCCGGCUAACUUCGUGCCAGCAGCCGCGGUAAUACGAAGGGGGCUAGCGUUGUUCGGAAUUACUGGGCGUAAAGCGCACGUAGGCGGACAUUUAAGUCAGGGGUGAAAUCCCGGGGGCUCAACCCCGGAACUGCCUUUGAUACUGGGUGUCUAGAGUUCGAGAGAGGUGAGUGGAAUUCCGAGUGUAGAGGUGAAAUUCGUAGAUAUUCGGAGGAACAACCAGUGGCGAAGGCGGCUCACUGGCUCGAUACUGACGCUGAGGUGCGAAAGCGUGGGGAGCAAAACAGGAUUAGAUACCCUGGUAGUCCACGCCGUAAACGAUGGAAGCCAGCUGUCAGCAAGUUUACUUGUCGGUGGCGCAGCUAACGCAUUAAAGCUUCCCGCCUGGGGAGUACGGUCGCAAGAUUAAAACUUAAAUAAAUUGACGGGGGUCAUAGCUGUUUCCUG
rnacentral:rRNA from 1 species